UGUUAGCGGCGGACGGGUGAGUAACACGUGGGUAACCUGCCUGUAAGACUGGGAUAACUCCGGGAAACCGGGGCUAAUACCGGAUGGUUGUCUGAACCGCAUGGUUCAGACAUAAAAGGUGGCUUCGGCUACCACUUACAGAUGGACCCGCGGCGCAUUAGCUAGUUGGUGAGGUAACGGCUCACCAAGGCGACGAUGCGUAGCCGACCUGAGAGGGUGAUCGGCCACACUGGGACUGAGACACGGCCCAGACUCCUACGGGAGGCAGCAGUAGGGAAUCUUCCGCAAUGGACGAAAGUCUGACGGAGCAACGCCGCGUGAGUGAUGAAGGUUUUCGGAUCGUAAAGCUCUGUUGUUAGGGAAGAACAAGUGCCGUUCAAAUAGGGCGGCACCUUGACGGUACCUAACCAGAAAGCCACGGCUAACUACGUGCCAGCAGCCGCGGUAAUACGUAGGUGGCAAGCGUUGUCCGGAAUUAUUGGGCGUAAAGGGCUCGCAGGCGGUUUCUUAAGUCUGAUGUGAAAGCCCCCGGCUCAACCGGGGAGGGUCAUUGGAAACUGGGGAACUUGAGUGCAGAAGAGGAGAGUGGAAUUCCACGUGUAGCGGUGAAAUGCGUAGAGAUGUGGAGGAACACCAGUGGCGAAGGCGACUCUCUGGUCUGUAACUGACGCUGAGGAGCGAAAGCGUGGGGAGCGAACAGGAUUAGAUACCCUGGUAGUCCACGCCGUAAACGAUGAGUGCUAAGUGUUAGGGGGUUUCCGCCCCUUAGUGCUGCAGCUAACGCAUUAAGCACUCCGCCUGGGGAGUACGGUCGCAAGACUGAAACUCAAAGGAAUUGGAAGGGAGCCCGCACAAGCGGUGGAGCACGUGGUUUAAUUCGAAGCAACGCGCAGAACCUUACCAGGUCUUGACAUCCUCUGACAAUCCUAGAGAUAGGACGUCCCCUUCCGCGGCAGAGUGACACGUCGUGCAUGGUUGUCGUCAUCUC
rnacentral:rRNA from 1 species